rnacentral:rRNA from 1 species
UACAGAGGUGGCAAGCGUUGUUCGGAAUUACUGGGCGUAAAGGGCGCGUAGGCGGCCUUGUCAGUCAGACGUGAAAUCCCCAGGCUUAACCUGGGAACUGCGUCUGAUACUACAAGGCUGGAGUUCGGGAGAGGAAUGUGAAAUUCCAGGUGUAGCGGUGAAAUGCGUAGAUAUCUGGAGGAACACCGGUGGCGAAGGCGGCAUUCUGGACCGAAACUGACGCUGAUGCGCGAAAGCCAGGGGAGCAAACGGG